CAUCCUGGUAAUAGGCAAAGAGACACCUUGUUGGUGGGAUCAUUCUGAUAUCAGUCAAGGCCAGAGCAGAUGAUAGUCCUUUAUUCAUCCUAGCUUGAUGACUGGCUUGGUGGCCAAAGCUGUUUUAUGCAUAGGACACAAAA